rnacentral:rRNA from 1 species
CACAAGGCCAAACAUGUAGUUCUGCAAUUGGAGUUAGGACGAUGACGCACUGUUUUCGAUAUCCAAUUCGAUGGCAAUUUUGGUGCCAGCACCCGCAGUAAUUCCAGCUCCAAUAGCGUAUAUUAACCUUGUUACAGUUAAAUAGCUCGCAUUUGAAUAGAAGUGAACUUGGGAAGAAGUGAUCUUCGGAUGACAUGAAUCAAAGUUGACUCAUUCCAAAGUCAAUACAUUGGUUUUCAUUUAUCUAUGUAUUGUGUAUGGUCAUUUACUGUGAGAAAAUUAGAGUGUCCAAAGCGGACGUUUGUUUGAAUACAUUGGCAGGGAAUAAUCAUAUAUGGCAUUCAUGGUGAUUUGAUUGGUCCGAAUAUGGAAGCAAGAUUAAAAGGGACAGCAGGGGG